rnacentral:rRNA from 1 species
AGUCUGGUGCCAGCAGCCGCGGUAAUUCCAGCUCCAAUAGUGUAUAUUAAAGUUGCUGCAGUUAAAAAGCUCGUAGUUGGAUUUCGGAAUGCGUCGAACAAAGCUCGUCUUAGGGCGUGGCUCGUUUGGCGCUUCCUAUAUUUGGGUAAUGGCCCUCUUGCUUCACGGCUUGAGGAAAACCGUUCUCAAUCAUUUACUUUGAAUAAAUUUGAAUGUUCAUAGUAGGCGUAUAGCCUUUGAAGAUUGGAGCAUAGGAUAAUAGAAUAUGACAUUGGUUUUAUUUUAUUGGUUUCUAGAGCUGAUGUAAUGAUUAAUAGGGAUAGUUGGGGUCGCUCGUAUUGAGUUGUCAGAGGUGAAAUUCUAGGAUUUACUCAAGACGAACUACUGCGAAAGCAUUCGACAAGGAUGUUUUCAUUAAUCAAGAACGAAAGUUGGGGGAUCGAAGACGAUUAGAUACCGUCGUAGUCUCAACCAUAAACUAUGUGGACCAAGGAUCCGAGGACGUUACAUGGAUGACUCUCCGGGCACUUUGUGAGAAAUCAUAAGUAUUUACGUUCUGGGGGGAGUAUGGUCGCAAGGCUGAAACUUAAAGGAAUUGACGGAAGGGCACCACCAGGAGUGGAACCUGCGGCUUAAUUUGACCCAACACGGGGAAACUUACCAGGUCCGGACACUAGGAGGAUUGACAGAUUAAGAGCUCUUUCUUGAUUUAGUGGGUGGUGGUGCAUGGCCGUUUUUAGUUGGUGGAAUGAUUUGUCUGGUUAAUUCCGUUAACGAACGAGACGUCAAUCUGCUAAUUAGUUGCGCGAACUCGGGGGCAACCCCAUCGGUUCGUGACUAAACUUCUUAGAGAGACUGCCGGCUUCUCUAGCCGAUGGAAGCUUGACGCAAAAACAGGUCUGUGAUGCCCUUAGAUGCCCUGGGCUGCACGCGCGUUACAAUGACGGUCGCAACAAGUGGUCUCCUUGCCCGAUGGGGCUGGGUAAGCUUUUAAAAGAUCGUCGUGAUGGGGAUUGAAAAUUGCAAUUAUUUUUCAUGAACGAGGAAUUCCUAGUAAGCGCAGUUCAUCAGACUGCGCUGACUAAGUCCCUGCCCUUUGUACACACCGCCCGUCGCUCCUACCGAUUGAAUGGUCCGGUGAGAACUCAGGACUGCAGUAGUUUAGUCUAUUCGCAAGGGUAGGCGGCUACAGCGGGAAUUUGUUCAAACCUUACUAUUUAGAGGAAGGAGAAGUCGUA